rnacentral:lncRNA from 1 species
GAAUAUAGGCCGCUGAGUAGAAUUCACUUGAACUACUUGAAGAAACUGGUAUAUGGAACAGAAAGGCCAUGUAUAGGCCUAACUGGUGUUCCUGGGUUUUGUUUGCUCAUUUGUUUUGUGUUGUUUUUAGUUUUGCUAUGCAGUUAUGUAUCUGAACAUACUGAGAAAUACAAAUUACCCAUUAGGAAGUGUUUUUUUUUCUGCAAGAGUUCUGCGAAAGACCUGUGUUUGAAGAAGAAAUCAGUGGUGAGAACCAGUAUGUGGCAGAGGAAAAAGAUUUGGCUUCAAGCUUUUAUAUGAAAGGUGAUACUUAAUUGGAAUAUUUUAUCAUCAAAAGGAAGCCUUUUAAACGUACCAGACCUGUUGCUGUUAUGCUAAAACCCUAGCGUUCAAAGGAGAGAGGAAAGACGUGUGGUUGGGAGGAAAACAGGGUUGUUUUCUGCAUGAAUACAAUAAAUGCUCUAUUCCACUUGUUUUAUUAGUGAAACCAACUUCAUAGGAAUGUAAAAUACCGUGAAGAAGCCACAAAACCACUACAACUAUCCCUUUCUGAACUACCUUCAGAAACAUUGUUUUGAAACUCUUAGCAGUGACCAGCUGGCUUCAGUAUCUAAACACUCAAUUUGCCUUCUGGACUGCUCUGUCGUAUUCAUUAGGACCUGGCCCCAGGGAACAGUUUAUUUGUCACCUUUUGUCUGGACAGAUGUGAAUUACUAGUUGUAAGCUGAACAUGAAGAUGUUCUAGUGUCUCAACCUGUUACAGUAGCAUACCUCCAGCAACCAUCAGGAUCUUCUUGAUCUUGUCUGAGACACCAUGGCCAAGAGAAUGCCUAUUAAAAAUAAGAGUAAAACUCAGAAGAGAGAAGAACCUUCUUUAAAGUAAACUGAAACAAUCAAGCUGCUGCAGAGCCAGAGUGUAUUUUAGAAAUACUGAAAAAUCUUAGAAAUACUGAAAAAUCUUCCUCUUUCAAACAGCCUUUCCUCUAUACACAAAUAUUAGCCUUUCCUUUUACUUGAAGGACCCUUCCAAGCCACUAACUAAAGGGUUAAAAACAAACAAACAAACCCCACACCCAUAACCUUAAGGAAAAGAAAAUAUCACAAGCAGACUUUACAACAGAAAUUACAUAUAUUCCUUAAAACAGAGUAAUGUUGUUCUCAGAGGCUCACUGAAGACAGGGUGAGUUUCUUAAUUAAUACUGAGUUAUUACCUUGAUUUCAUAAUGCAUGCUUUGUACUUCAUCUAUACAAACUUAUGUGAGAUCUCUGACUAAUUUGGCCAGCUAUAAUAGAUCAGUGAGAGAGAAUGACUGCUAGUUACAACAGAUCUUGAGAUGUGUGAGUACUUUUUUAAAAAGAAAGGUGUCUUGUGAAUGACUGAAUAUUUAUUUCUGCAAUUUCACCGACAAACUGAAGGAACAAGACUUCUUUGUCUGUGCUAGCAGCAAUGUGAUUUAUUCACAUGCCAGGGCUGCCUAUCUGUUGGCAGUAAAUGCAAUGUCAGGCAGCAUUAUUUAGUACUGCAAUAAAAGUCCAAAGAUUAAUAUCUUAAAAAAAAAAAAAAGUAGUAACUUUCAAAAAUUUAAUGAAAAAGAGCUAGUCUGUGUCUGGCAAGCUUGAAAAGCUUGCAAGUGAAACUGUAGCUGCAACAGUGGCAUUACUCAUGUUUACGUACCAAAUAAAGCUGAAGAUGUGCAGCGCCAGACUUUGCUCCAGGGGCACUCAAAUGAAUGGUUUUGCAGCACAGGUAGCAGCCGUAUAACUGUCUGUUACUGUGACGAUACAGUUUUCUUUCAUAAAGUCUUGUGGCUGGUUGGAAAUCUGCUGCUGUUGACUACAUUCAUAAAUAUGAAUGAAUUGUGACUCUCACUGUGAAAUUCGGUUUUGUGGCUUGCUUUGACAUUUCCUGGAGCCUUUAACAU